CUUAAAAGUGAAAUGAUAUGUUAACACUAUUUCACUAAUCAAUAAACAAACGAACGAAGUGAAUGCUUUUUAGAAACCGUAUAUCGAUAAAGUAUAUUUUACAGAUUACUCCGUCUAUAUUUAGCAUGAUCAUUUCACUUUUCGAUCGUUGCCAUUUUGUACGCGCCCUGCCUAAGAGUGUCUCAUGGACUUCAGCUGGAUUAAAUGUGUAUUCCAGCCUGGUUGCAGUAGCCACAGGGGAAUUUUCAAGGACAAGAACCAGUGCUGGUAAAAAUGUGGUCUCAUGUGGUUUUCCAUACCGGCUUUCAGCAAGGAUUUCAGAGAAAGGAAGACUGUCUCCAAGUAAGAAGACAUUCUAAGCAUGUCUGGUUUUAAUGCUUUCAAAAUGCAUCUGGGUACUCAAUAAGAUGAGAUUAACCUUUGAAUUGUUAAAAACUGAUAGCAAAAUGUCCAAAAGACUAUAUAUUUCAUAAAAUUUGUCCGGAAAAUCUUUCAAUUCAUGAGCUUUUCUGCAUAUUUAUCACAUUUAUGACCACAUAAAAGGUUGUGUAUGCCUCAAAUGAGUGUUUCCAUGCCUUUUUCAAACUUUUACAGUAUUGGCAGACAGUUUUAUAAGUGGAAAACAUUGCUUUUGUGUCUUGCUUGCAUAUCAUGAUGUGCCAAUAAGCUCCAGUUAGCUGCGCCUUUUUCCUCCUACCUGCAAUCUGAAUCCAGGAGAUGCAGCUCUGAAUCCAAUAUUUCAGAAGAAUGAAUAUAAAACUGAAGCCUUCAGGAAGUCAACGCCACCAUGGUAUUGAUUUACUCAGCUCUGUUGUACUCAGCUGUGAUGAAACAUGCCUUCAAGCCACUAUUCGAAGAACAUUCAGACGUUCUAAAUGGACCAUUGCCCUGUUGCCAUAAAAAUGAGGAGGAGCACAUGCUAAACAUGCUUGCAAUUACACUGUACCAUCUAUCAUAAUAUAGCAAUGCUGCAAUUACCACAUUUUUUGUACUUUAUACUGAAACUUUUAUUGAAAAUGGUGCAUAAACACUGAUAACACAUAAAUGUUUCAUUCAUACAUUUGUACAUGUUCUUUCAGUGUAUAUGUUGAUAAUGCUAAUACAUAUUUCAUGUACAUUUACACAUGUGUUUAUUGCCAACCUCAUCAAAACAUGCAUAUUUUGCUCACAAAGAUAUUUCCAUUUUCAGAAUGUAUUACUACUUUACGUUGAUUUUGAUAUGUAAAUAAAACAUUGUACUACUCGUUUAUACAAAACACUUUUCAUUUGCUAUGUUGUUUGUUUCCAUGUUCUGUCUGCAUACAGAUGGUAUUUUGAAUUUUCAUAUCAAUUUUUAGCUCGACUAUUCGUAGAAUAUGGAGAGCUAUACUACUCACCCAAGUGUCAGCGUCGGCGUCACACCUUGGUUAAGGAUUUGCAUGUAAGCACACAUAGGUUAAUAUCUCAGUUACUUCUUGAAGUAUCGCAUUGAGACUUGAUACAAUGGUACUCAACCAUCCAACCUACUUAAUUAACCAAGUAAGAUAACUCUACUUUGCAUUUAAUGCAAAUUAUAGGCUUUUAUUAUUUGACUUUGAAAUUCUGGUUAAGGUUUUGCGUGCAAGCACACAUAGGUAAAUAUCUCAUUAAGUACUCAACAAUCCAACCUACUGAAUUAACAAAGUUAGAUAACUGUAGUUUGCAUUUAAUCCAAAUAAUAGGACUUUAUUAUUCGACUUAGAAAUUCUGGUUAAGGUUGUGCGUGCAAGCACACAUAGGUUAAUAUCUCAGCAAUUACUUGAGGUAUUGCAUUGACACAUGAUACAAGGUACUCAACCAUCCAACCUAAUUAAUUAACCAAGUAAGAUAACUUGACUUUGCAUUUAAUGCAAAUGAUUGGCCUUUAUUAUUAGACUUAGAUAUUCUGAUUAAGGUUUUGUGUGCAAGCACACAUUAUAUAAAUAUCAAAGCAACUACUUAAUGUAUUGCAUUUAAUGUCAUACAAUUGUACUCAACCAUCAAACUUCCCCAUGUAAAAAAGCUCUAGUUUCAUUUAAUGCAAUUAGUCGCCCUUUAUUAUUCGACAUAGAAAUUCUGGUUAAGGUUUUGCGUGUAAGCACACAUAGGUAAAUUUAUCAGCAAUUACUCGAUGUAUUGCAUUGAGACUUUAUAGAAUGGUAUUCAACCACUCAAUGACAUUGAAUAACCAAGAUAUAUAACUGUAUAUUGCAAAUAAUUGCCCUUUAUUAUUAGACUUAAACAUUCUGGUUGAAAUUUUCCAUGUAACCACAUUUAUGUUAAUAUCUCACCACAUGAAUUGCAUUGCAAUCUUAUCUAACAGUGAUCCAUGCAUGUUUCGCCAAAACUGUUCAACACUGAACAGCGGCGGAAUAGUCAAGCCCGCUGUCUCUGUGACAGCUCUUAUUCAAAAUUAACGUGAUUGAUGUUCAUUUCAAUAUUAACAUCUUUUAGCAUACAUGCCUAGAUGAGUUUUAAAAAAUGACCAUAUUAUCCAUACUUACUGCAUGAAAAUAUACAAUGACAUACAUUUCAUAUCAACUUGUGUAUCUGUAUUUUCCUUUCAACUACUUCGAAAUAACAAACGUCCCAACCCUAAAAUGUUCAAACAUAUUCUACAAACAUUAUUUUUACCUUACACUGUAUAUAUAUGUUCCAUAUGUAUAUAUCACGCCUAAUAAAAUUGA